GAUAAACGCUGGCGGCGCACAUAAGACAUGCAAGUCGAACGGACCUAAACUUUAGUUACUAUAGUAGAGGUUAGUGGCGGACUGGUGAGUAACACGUAAGCAACCUGCCUAUCAGAGGGGAACAACAGUUAGAAAUGACUGCUAAUACCGCAUAUGCCUAAGUACCACAUGGUACAAUAGGGAAAGGAGCAAUCCGCUGAUAGAUGGGCUUGCGUCUGAUUAGAUAGUUGGUGGGGUAACGGCCUACCAAGUCGACGAUCAGUAGCCGGACUGAGAGGUUGAACGGCCACAUUGGAACUGAGAUACGGUCCAGACUCCUACGGGAGGCAGCAGUGGGGAAUAUUGGGCAAUGGGCGAAAGCCUGACCCAGCGACGCCGCGUGAGGGAAGAAGGUUUUCGGAUUGUAAACCUCUGUUUUUAGUGAAGAAACAAAUGACGGUAGCUAAAGAGGAAGCCACGGCUAACUACGUG
rnacentral:rRNA from 1 species